ensembl:lncRNA
GGUUGCUGUGUGUCGCCAUGGUUUCCUUCUUAAAGCCCUUAAUAUGUACAGGGGAGAAAUAUUUGCCUACCCCAUGUACCUUCAAAAGGAGCUGAUGCCAGCCAAGGCACAAUUCUUUGCCAUGGAUGUGGCUUGCAAAUACUGGCCAUACCUGGAGAAAGUUGCCAGUGUCCUUCCUGCUCUCCAGGAGCUGACCACCAUGAAACCUUUCCUCAGCGUCAUGCAUGCUCGAGCUCAUGCUACCAAGUGUGAGAUUAAAUGGAGUGGUAGGAACCAGGAAGGAGCAGGGACAACCGCCGGUGAAGAGGUGGAACAAGUUAACAGCUACCUCUCUCGUUGUGCCCUUACGACAAAAUAUAUGUCGAAAGCAGCCCGGUUGGACAUGCUCACAUUGCAUGCAAUGUUGUGGAACCAGAAGAAAGGGGAUUCCUUACACCAGGCACUUUCCACAAGAUAUGUGAAGACUUGUCAGAGGCUCCUGGAUGAGACUGCAAUGCUAGCAGAGCUAAAAACCCAGCUACAUCUCUCAGAUGAAAUGGUGUCACAGUGGAUCUCAGAUGUGAUGGAAUGGGCAGCUGGUGAGACACGAGAUGCAUCUGACAACCUGCAAGGCACCACACACACAGGGCUUCAGCGGUCCAUUGAGGGGCUCUACCUCAGUGUGAGGCAGCGGAAGCUAAAUCUGUACCGUCAGAAUGACAGCAACAAGCUUCGCCACCGGCUUCGGAGGAAGCUGGCAGAAGAGAAAAAGCUCCUUUUUCAGGAGAUACAAAAGCACAACAAGCUUGACUCUGCAGCCAACAUCGAUGCAGCUGUGGUGGAGCACUCCCUGAGUGGAGAGAGCACUGUGUCCCCAAUAUGGCCUUGGGAGGUUCAUGACAGCGCAAACAUUGGAACCAAGAAACGGCUUCAUGACCAAGUCAUGACAACAAAGCGACUGCAGGAGGAAAAAACAUUCUGGUGAUGGAGAUGGCACAACACUGCACAUGGUUGCAGAACCUGGCAUUGGUUCUCAAAAACAAGGUGGCUGAGUCGGGUGGAGAGUCUGGAGACAAAGGAGCUGAAGGACUUUGCAGUCUCUUGAGGAGAAGAAACACAGAGGUGUCAGAGGGGUUGCAAGUGGUCCUGCAAAAAUACAAGACUGCUUUAGGUCCUGAGGCCUCUGUCAUUCAAAAUAUUGAAGAGGAAGACCAAAGUGUCCACAGCAGUCCAGACACCAGUGAGGAUGAAGAGGAAAGCAUAAUUUAGAUUGAAGCUGCACUGAGGAUGGACUAAGGAAAUGGACUUGCCUAGAAAGCACUAAUGUGAUAAAACAUGCAUUCGGGCGUCUUAUAUUAUUUCACACGCAUAGAUAUUAACUUGGCACUAUGGGGGAGGGAACCAAGGAAGGCAGGCUUUCCUAUGAUUGGCCGUUCUGAAGCGCGAUAUUUGAUUGACAGCCCUCCUCAGCCCGAAUUCAGCCAAGGGUUUCUUACUUGAAGGGACCUUCGCCCAGACGUGAUUGUCUUCUGAGUUUCAGCCAUUGACUACAAUACAGAAUGAAUGAGAGGAGGGCUGAGGAAGGCUCUCAAUCAAAUAUCGUGCUUCAGAAACAGCCAAUCACAGGAAAGCACGCCCUGCCUUGAUUCCCUCCCACAUAGUGCCAAAAUUAAAUUUGAGCGAGAGAGCAUAACAUCAUUCGCGAGAGGCUGUUUUGUAUGACCAAAGUUAUUCCCCCUCUCGCUUGCAACGAGGUAAUGCUCUCGAGGAUCUUUUUUCCUGGCUCGGGGAGCUGCGCUCUGAGUGCGGACGUGCGCACAGAUAAUUUGGGCGCUCGCAGUUAACAUCUACGUGUAUGAAAUAAUAUAAUACGCCCGAAUGCAUGUUUUAUCCCAUUAGUGCUUUAUGGCACUAAUGUGUCGCCAUACUCAACCGCUUAUCCUGGCAACUUCACACCUGACACUGCACCCUUGGGUCUUCUGCAAUACACCCACCAAGUGUAAAAUAAAUCAGAUGAACACUACUAACUGCUUCCUGUCAACUGACAGCAGUCAGCUGACCGUCAUUACAUCGCUGUAGCACGUGAACAUUCAUUGGUGCCAUACUUGACAGCUCUCCACACAGUUACAUAGCAUUGUGGUGAAUGUUCAGACCACUGUUUCAUCUCUCCCCUUCCAGCGUCACAGAUUAUCAAUCUUGGUGAUGGAGGCACUAGCAUUUUGGUGUGUUAUUUAGUUAAUGUGUGUAAAAGAUGACUUCCUCAAAUGUCUUGUUUUGUUCGGAAUUCAAAGAUAUUCAGUUGACAGAAUAUAUAGAAGUAUAAAGAAACCAGAAAAUAUUACAUUUGAGAAUCUGGAAUCUGAUCAUUUUGAAUUUUUUUAUUUUUCAAAAAAUGAAAAAGUGAUUAAUCGUUCAUCCAAACAGUUGGUUAUUAAUUAAAAUCAAAUAGUUGCAUGUCAUGUAAAAUGUAAAUCAAGGAGAACGACCAUUUUGAUUGAUAGGGUGGCGUGACUAAGUAUGUAUACAUAUAAUAUGUAUGUAAUAUGCAUUAGACUGUAUGUAACAAAGAGACAGUUGUAUAGUUAAUAUAGGUACGUACAGUAUAACUGGAUUACAUGUUCUGUUGUCAGUGCUUAUGUAAAGCUAACCCUACAGUCCAUUUUUAAGAAAUACAGCCCAAAUUGUUUGUGUGUUGGACAGAUCCAUUUGGUGCAUUUUCUCCAGUAUUGUUGCAAAAGAUGAAUACAUUAUUGCCAAAAAUGACCAUUUUUUGUUUUACUUUUCCAUCAUGUUUAGAAACAUCAUGUGACAGUUUUGUGUUUUAUAAAAAAAGAUAGCCUAUCAAGAGAAAAUAUGGGAAACAAACAUAAAUAAUGCAUAAUUAAUUAUAUUUUGAAUUGAGUUAAAUUUAACAUCACAUACAUUAUUAUUUAUGUGGAUUACAUCAAUUAACUGAUCUCCUUGUGAUAUAUUUCACCCAAAUCAUCUAUAUGCAGUAUAAUGUAGCCUAUGUUUUACUUGUAGAUUUUUGAUUCAGUAAAGAUUCAUUUUCCUAAACUUAUUUACAACCCUCCUCUUGGUGUAAGAACUACAAGUAUCCCUUCUAACUUGUAUGGUUCCUAAAAUUUCAAAGGAACGAUU